rfam:Lepisosteus oculatus linkage group LG3, whole genome shotgun sequence.
GCCAGCAGCCAUGUCAUCCUUCAACUCACGACUGGGAGCCCACUGAAGCUCAGCAGGUGUGAGCCUGGGCAGUACCUGGAUAGGAGACCUCCUGGGAAAAACCAAGGUUGCUGCUGGAA